GAUGAACGCUGGCGGCGUGCUUAACACAUGCAAGUCGAACGAUGAUGCCCAGCUUGCUGGGUGGAUUAGUGGCGAACGGGUGAGUAACACGUGAGUAACCUGCCCUUGACUCUGGGAUAAGCCUGGGAAACUGGGUCUAAUACCGGUAAGGCCAACUGGCGCAUGGUCAGGGGGGUGGAAGGUUUUGUGGUUUUGGAUGGACUCGCGGCCUUUCAGCUUGUUGGUGGGGUAAUGGCCUACCAAGGCGACGACGGGUAGCCGGCCUGAGAGGGUGACCGGCCACACUGGGACUGAGACACGGCCCAGACUCCUACGGGAGGCAGCAGUGGGGAAUAUUGCACAAUGGGCGCAAGCCUGAUGCAGCGACGCCGCGUGAGGGAUGACGGCCUUCGGGUUGUAAACCUCUUUCAGUAGGGAAGAAGCGAAAGUGACGGUACCUGCAGAAGAAGCGCCGGCUAACUACGUG
rnacentral:rRNA from 1 species